AAACCAUAGACUCACACCCAGCUCUUUGGAAAUGGUAAUGGAGUUGAUAGCACACCCUCAUGGAAAAAAGGAAGACUCCAUUUGCUUACUCUCAACUCCCAGCCUUGCCUGCCAGCUCAGGGAUUUCUAGUACGGCUGAAUCUGGACAAUGUUUACAGGAUGUGGCAUUUCUAAUUAAUGAUUAUGUUUAGAUAAAUAAAGUUUGUGAGGGGCUGGAGAGAUGGCUUAGUGGUUAAGAGCACUAAAUUCUGUUCCUUUAUAGGCCAUUUAAGAACUCAAACUGGAUUGCCUGGACUCCUUAGCAAGGGAGGGCAAUGAUACCAGGCAGAUUAUAGGCCUUACAUAGGAACAAUUAGUAAAAAAAUCUCAUUCUUUAUAUAUCCAAAACAAUAAUGCUGGAGACAAUAAUUUGGUAUACAAGUCAAUUUAUAAAUACAAGUGCUCAGUGUCCUCAAUUUAAUCCUCGAGGACUUAUCUUAAUAAAUAAUAUUGUAACAAUAUCCUAAUAAAUAAAAAGGGGGAGUUAUCCCUGUAUGCUAAAUAAUGCUCUUUUUAUUUCAAUUUUAAAAUUUGGAUGCCAAGGAAUACUCUGAGUGUUGAUGGCACCCUACAACUAGGCAUACUUCUGCCUUGGUGAAAUAGAAAGAUUCACGAUCCUGUUUAGAUAUAUUAUAUGGGGAAGAGGGAAUGUUUGUGUUUUUCCUACAGGAUGCUGCAGGAGUAUGCCAGCUGCCAGAGGUGGUUGGUGAGACUUGCUGAUCCUGGGAGCAUGAAGAUUCCACUCUCGUGGUUCGGGUCCCUGGAGUCAUUCCUGUGCCCUUGGAGGAAGAUAGAGGAUUCCCCCUCAUCUUUUGUCAUUUUGGCAUUGCUGCAGUCUUUGUUACCGCCACUGUGUGUCCCAUCCCACCGCGGCCUGCGCCCCAACCCUCUGUGCACUGCUACUUGCCAGAGAAGACUGGACUCCAGCAGUUACCCCUGCCCUGACUGGUGUUGUCAUUUUGCAGUCUGUAGCUUCACAGGAAUGCCAUGUGCAUGAAGCUGCUGUGGACUGGGUAACUCUGCCCUGGUUGUGCGGAUCUCAGACAUGGUUCCAUUGCCUGCCGAUUGUUCCAGAGAAGAAUGGCUGAUCCUGAACUGUC
rnacentral:lncRNA from 1 species